CAGACUGCAUGGAUGUGCAGGCUGAUCUUGGUCUGCACUGGUCGCAAAGGCAAAAUCAUUUGCCACCAACAGGCUAAGGGUUAUUUAAAGAUUCCAACUAAUUUAACUGCCAAUUCAAAUAUGGUGUAACCUGACUGAAAAUAAAUUGUGUAAAGGUGGUGAUGUUGUUACAUGUUACAUUAUUCUUUCAUUGUAUACAAACCACCUUUCACAGUACUUUCACUGUAAAUUGCUGACAGUCAUUGAAAAUCGAAAAUGUUCUAUAAGGACAUUAUUAACAACGCGUGAAAUAUAAAAGGUGUGUCAUAUUGAUAUUUCAUCAUAUUUAAUUUCAACAAUACCGUCGAAGGAAGUUAACGUAUAGUAUAACACAAAACUGAAUUAUUUGGAUAUUCAAAUAGAUUUGGUUUCCGAGAAGAGGAAGUAGAUGAUCUAUCUAUUGAUGGCAACUUUCAGUGUGCGUUUUUUUUUAGGUUGAUAGAAAGUAUUUCAAGGAUAUGUUCGACUUUUCGUAAAGCGUGUUUGUGAAUGAUCAUUGCUAUUUAUACAGAUACAAUACACAUAAAGUUCAAAUGGCUUAUUUAGCGCUUAAAGAAAUUUACUACAAUACGCUGGAAACACUUGGAAUAGUAAAGAAUUUUUGUGAGACUAAACGCAAAAUAUAUAACAAAAUUGGUGAGUUCGUGACACUGAACUAUACAAGGAAAACACGGGAAUCUGUAGACAUAGUUAUUGCUGGAAGUCGUGGAGAAGGAACUGCACUUUCAUUUGAUAACGACGUUGAUGUACUUGUCAUUUAUAGGUCUGUGCACUGCGUCGAAAUCUGUCAAAGUUCUCAUGUAAAUGCAAUAUCCCCAUGUCCAGUUAUAAGUCAGCUGGACGACGAAACUGUUCCAUGCGGAUAUACAAAAUUGCGCAUUAUAUCAAUUGAGAAGUAUCAAGCUAUAUUUGGAAAUCAAGACUUCGUGACGAAUAUAAUAACUGGAAUAGUAAAAAGAAAUGGCUUUGAAUAUCUUAGAAAUGAUCAGACGUUUGGAGGACCUUUAUACAACAACCGGGAGGGAUUACUUAAACAGGAAAAUGUGUUUGCAGACACUUCAGGACCUGCGACACUAUUUACAUUUGAACUACCAUUUUUAGACAAGUGCAAUUUAUCUCUUGAUUAAGUUCAAGCAUUUCUAUGUUCCUACCCGUCAGCAGUAAAUGCUUGGUGCAAACGUACCAGGAAAUAUGACUGGCCACAUAAAGAGGUUAUAGAAACUGUAAGAGGUUUAGAUGUACUUAUGGUACCCGCUGGUACCAGAUGACUCACGCCAUAACACCGCCAAGUGUGGAAGUCUACUAUAUAAUACUUAGUAUUAUUGAACAGAUUCCAAGAUGCCAAAUGACUAAUAGAUUGUGUUGCCGAAUCACAUAUUCAAGUGUAAAACCAAGUAAAAGUCUUUUAUUAAAGCAUACCACAAAAUAUUUAAGGAUCCAAACUCAAAUAAUAUGAAUAUAAAAUAUGAAUUUAAGUAGAAAACAUAUCAAGAGGAUAGGUCAGAAGAAUUCAAACGGUAGAGAUGAAGGAGUGAGCGUGAAAAAGAUGUAACCAGACAGCGCUUGCGAUUUUCGACGUUUUCAAAGCACAUCGCAGUGAAGAUAUGCUGCAGAAACUAUAUGACGCAAACAUUAAAGUUGUGUUUGUCCCUGCAUGCUGUACGGAUGAGCUACAACCGAUGGAUCAGAUCCCGAACAAACAGUUCAAAGAUAUAAUCAAGUCUCAAUUUUCUGAAUAUUAUACAGAACAAGUUGCGAAGGGGUUACGUGAAAAUAAACCCGUCGACAGUGUUGACAUUUCUACAAAAACGGUGAAGCCUCUCCAUGCUAAAUGGAUCCAAAUGGCUUUUGAAAAAAUGAGCAAAACAGCAGAUCAGUUCGUUAAGGCAUUCAACAACUGUGGAAUUUACGCUAAGUAAUAGUAUUCAUUAUGAUGCUCUGUUGGAUGAUUAUCGGAGCAAAUAAGUUCGUAAUCCUUUUGUAACCCAUUCGUUAGUGUUUUAUUCAUUCCCUUGUGCAUAACGUUAAAGUCCGUGUAAUCCGGACUGCAGAGUGGGGGCCGCCAUGUUUAUUUUGAAAUAGACGUUAGUGAAAAUUUAUGCAUAUACAUGUAUAAGGUAAUAUUUCAGCGAGGAUAAAUUUUCGCGAGAAUAUUCUAUUCGCGAAUAUAGCGAAAAUUAAUCCCUCGCGAAAAUUUCUGAUUUUACAGUAACAUAAUCUUUUCAUACAAAACAUUUCAUCAAAAUCUAUUAUUGCGAAAAAAAAUACGAAACUGUAGCGAGCGUCCUUAACAGUGAUGAAAUUGUACAUAUUCGAAUGUAUUAACAUAGUAAACAUCAUCCAGUUCAUGUUACCACAAUAUAUUCAAAAUCACAGCCACAGGCUCUAAAAGAGUGCAAAGUAAUUUCUAAAAUAAUGAGUUUUCAACUUCUUUUUGAAAACAUCUAAUGUUUUUGAGUUCCUUAUUUCGAGAGGCAAUUCGUUCCAGAGUUUAGUUCCAACGUAAUAUUCUGGAGAAUUCACGACUGAACAAUUAUACACGUAGGUGAGCAUCUUGAAUGUGAUUCUAGGCUUUAACUGAUGGAUAGCCAGUGAAGAUCAUAGAGUGCUUGUUUAAAAUUGUCAUAUUUUCUUCGAUUUAGGACCAGUUAUGCACACAUGUUUUGUCUACAUGAGUGUCUUUUCAUAUUGAAUUUAUUAAAUGAGUUGAAUAAAAUAAUAAAAUGCGAGGCUCUGUCGAGAAUUUAAU